CCUAUAGAGUCAAGGAGUAGAAUACCAAAAUACGAGCUGCAAAAGUGACUCAAAUUCGUCUUCCCUCACAAGUAACUACACUGAGGUGGAGGCUGGCCUGCAGCUUGUGUGCGCGGAGGCUCGUGUGCGCGGAGGAGAAGCACACUUCACCGACAAGUUGUUCCCGCUAUCCUCGCUGCCACUGCCAGUGACGGAACUUGGUGUGGACAACAUGCUGGAAAGAGAGUGUUCAUCCCUAUGAUCCCUUUGGCGCCCUCGGAGGACAUUUCGCUUCCUUUCAAGUUGAAGAGGAAACAGUUCCCUGGAUCGAUCCUGGAGAGCCCCUUCCGUAACCAAGUCCCCUCCCCACUUGGAGUCCUCUGCCACUGACGCACGGGUAAGCGCCAGAGAUGCGGUGCAUCCACGCAGUUCAACCAGCUGCCGCUGUCGUAGAUAACCAAGACGUACACGGAGAUAAGCAAGAUUCAGUGCGCUGCACUGCCCCCACGCGCUUUGAGGGUGCGAUGUCCCCGUCCAAGACAAGGUCCAGGAAGACCCUCGCCUUCGUUAUCCUGGUAAAGUUUUGCUGUUAUUUUACUCCCCCAAUUCCACUUACAGGGGAACAAAGAGUAAGAGUAAUCCUGGGGAUAAUGGUAUUUUCAUUUGUGCUUCUAAUUGAUAGUAUUACUGUCAGCUCCAUCCUUAGAGCAAUUGACGAAAAUGACUAUAUCACCUAGAUUGAUAGACAAUAAUUAUGCACAAACACGACAAUGUCCACAAAACAACUGCCGCUGCAUUGCUAAGAUGCAGCUUGAUUUGGCCUCAAUAUUUUGAUUUUUGAGUAUUACUUUCUUCCACUCCUCUGCAAAAUACUCCUAUGUUCUAGCUUCUCAAGCCUCUACUCUCAACCAGUCCAGUUGUCUAGGUGUUUUUUUUUGAUAAAUAUUGAUUUUGUUUCCUUUAUCUAUCGGUUUCAAUUCUGUAUCCGCCGUUCUCAGGAUAACUGUGUGAUGUUGCCAUGGGAUCCAAAAUAACUAUUUUUUACUGAAGCUACAGACUUAAGCAGUUUCUACCAUGUGUACUGUAUUUUGAGUUAAACCUGAAUGGCUUUCGUCGUAUGAUACACCGCAGUGCUUUCAUGUUUUUAGGAGGGUAGUUCUUCCCUGUGAUUACUAUGGUGUCGCUGUACAUUUCUUAUAUGGUUAGUUCUUAAUUUUCUUCAUUAUUCCAAACAUGUGUACCCACUAGGAUUUCAUCUUUUAUUAUUUACCUUCAAGCAGCAUAUAUUACUGUUGUUUGCUGUCCACCUUGAUCCUUCGCUGAUAUUUUUCCUAGGCAACUUCACAUGGAAUUAGGAUUAGUUAAUAAGAUUCUGGUAUAUUCUCAAUUUUUCUUGCUUUAUGCAUGAACCUAUCAUCAAGAUUUGGAUCUCUUAUAUGUGCCUUUGCUGCUGUAGAUUUGUUGGUGUUGAUUUGCAGUAAGAGGAAAUGUACUAUUGUUCUCAUCAAUUUCUUUCAUACCAUGUGUAUGGUUAGUUCUUAAUAUUCUUCAUUAUUCAAAAUACUUGUACCCACUAGGAUUCAUUUAUUAUUUUUUACCGUCAAGCACUAUAUAUAUUACUGUUGUUUGUUGUAUACCUUGAUCCUUCGCUGAUGUUUUUCCUAGGCAACUUCACAUGGAAUUAGGAUCACUUAAUAAGAUUCUGGUAUAUUCUGCAAAUUUUCUUGCUUUAUGCAUGAACCUAUCAUCAAGAAUUGGAUCUCUUAUAUGUGCAUGUGCUGCUGUAUAUUGGUUGGGUGUUGAUUUGCAGUAAGAGGAAAUGUACUAUUGUUCUCAUCGAUUUCUUUCAUAUCAUCUUAUAGAAAUAUGUUGUUUAAAUAUGAAGAGGUGGAUAAGUU